GUGGGGAAUUUUGGACAAUGGGCGCAAGCCUGAUCCAGCAAUGCCGCGUGCAGGAAGAAGGCCUUCGGGUUGUAAACUGCUUUUGUACGGAACGAAACGGUCCUGGCUAAUACCCGGGGCUAAUGACGGUACCGUAAGAAUAAGCACCGGCUAACUACGUGCCAGCAGCCGCGGUAAUACGUAGGGUGCGAGCGUUAAUCGGAAUUACUGGGCGUAAAGCGUGCGCAGGCGGUGGUGUAAGACAGGCGUGAAAUCCCCGGGCUCAACCUGGGAAUUGCUCUUGUGACUGCAGUGCUGGAGUGCGGCAGAGGGGGAUGGAAUUCCGCGUGUAGCAGUGAAAUGCGUAGAUAUGCGGAGGAACACCGAUGGCGAAGGCAAUCCCCUGGGCCUGCACUGACGCUCAUGCACGAAAGCGUGGGGAGCAAACAGGAUUAGAUACCCGAGUAGUCC
rnacentral:rRNA from 1 species